rnacentral:rRNA from 1 species
AACGCGAAGAACCUUACCCAGGUUAGAAGUGCAGGAGACGAUAACAGAGAUGUUAUUUCCCGAAAGGGCUGCUGUAUAGGUGCUGCAUGGCUGUCGUCAGCUCGUGCCGUGAGGUGUUGGGUUAAGUCCCGCAACGAGCGCAACCCUUAUCAUUAGUUGCCAACACGAGAGGUGGGGACUCUAAUGAGACUGCCUAGGUUAACUAGGAGGAAGGUGAGGAUGACGUCAAGUCCGCAUGGCCUUUAUGUCUGGGGCUACACACGUGCUACAAUGGUCGGUACAGAAGGCAGCGAAAUCGUGAGAUGAAGCAAAUCCCCAAAGCCGAUCCCAGUUCAGAUUGUAGUCUGCAACUCGACUACAUGAAGUUGGAAUUGCUAGUAAUGACGUGUCAGCAACAACGUCGUGAAUACGUUCCCGGGCCUUGUA